rnacentral:rRNA from 1 species
AGAGUUUGAUCCUGGCUCAGAACGAACGCUGGCGGCGUGGAUUAGGCAUGCAAGUCGAACGCGAAAGAGGGAGCAAUCCCUUGAGUAGAGUGGCGAACGGGUGAGUAACGCGUGAAGAACCUGCCUUCAACAGGGGGAUAACACUCCCAACGGGGUGCUAAUACCGCAUGAGACCACGAAAUUGCAUAGUUUCGCGGUCAAAGGUGGCCUCUAUUUAUAAGCUACCGGUUGAAGAUGGCUUCGCGUCCCAUUAGCUAGUUGGCGGUGUAACGGACCACCAAGGCGACGAUGGGUAGCUGGUCUGAGAGGAUGGUCAGCCACACUGGGACUGAGAUACGGCCCAGACUCCUACGGGAGGCAGCAGUCGAGAGGCUUCGGCAAUGGGGGAAACCCUGACCGAGCGACGCCGCGUGGAGGAUGAAGGCCCUUGGGUUGUAAACUCCUUUUGUUGGGGAAGAAAUGCGAUCAGGUGAAUAAUCUGGUCGUUUGACGGUACCCGACGAAUAAGCUCCGGCUAACUCCGUGCCAGCAGCCGCGGUA